UACGUAGGGUGCGGGCGUUAAUCGGAAUUACUGGGCGUAAAGGGCGCGUAGGCGGCCUUCUAAGUCGAACGUGAAAUCCCUGGGCUCAACCCAGGAACUGCGUCCGAUACUGGGAGGCUUGAAUCCGGGAGAGGGAUGUGGAAUUCCAGGUGUAGCGGUGAAAUGCGUAGAUAUCUGGAGGAACACCGGUGGCGAAGGCGGCAUCCUGGACCGGCAUUGACGCUGAGGCGCGAAAGCUAGGGGAGCAAACGGG
rnacentral:rRNA from 1 species